rnacentral:lncRNA from 1 species
AACUGCAUCAUAUGGUUGUCUUUUGUUCUCAUCUCGGCUGACAACACUUUAUCAAUCCAUCAUAAUUACUUAAACAAACUCUUGAGACUUAAACGAUCUUAGUAGCUGCAUAUAGUGUGGGCAAUAACUCCAAUCCUUCAUUUAAGUCCCUGGGAUCUUAUCGACUAGUGCUGUUAACUAGACUUUGUUACCAGCACGACUGCACUAAUUUCCACCAUCACUCUAAAGUUAAAAACAUAAAGGAUCAUUGAAUGAUAGAUGUCACUGUGUGCUGUUAUUGACAAACACAAUCAAUCUUCAGUUAAAGAAUUUUGGCCAAACAUCCACAUUGUUGACACAGCAAAAUAUUUCAAGUUCCCUACUUCAAUUAUGAACUCACUACCUAGUUCUGCAAAAAAGGUCUCAGCGUUUAAGAGAUUUGAAAGACGAUUGGGAUCUCCCACUCCCAGCUGGCGUUUCACAGCUGACGCUUUCAUAAGUUAAACGGACUUAUGGGAGAACGUGUAAAAACCUACAUUAGUCACUGAAACCAGUAGAAGCUAGAAGUUCUGAUACUUCUGUAGAAAGCAGUAGUGUCUCUAUUGAAUAUGAUGAGAUUGUUGGGCUAUCUGUAGCUUGCCUAUCGAAUAUUGAAGCUUAUUCGACUAGAACACCCACAGCAUCGAUUGAAGAUAGUCACAGUUCUGGAACUCCUUUAGGACAGCAGCGUCUCUAUAGAAUAUGACGAGAAA